CGCCCGCUCAGAAACUCAACGGAAUUGACGGGGGCCCGCACAAGCGGUGGAGCAUGUGGUUUAAUUCGAUGAUACGCGAGGAACCUUACCUGGGCUCAAAUGUAUGUUGACGUAUUCUGAAAGGGAUACUUCUUCGGACAAUAUACAAGGUGCUGCAUGGUUGUCGUCAGCUCGUGCCGUGAGGUGUCGGGUUAAGUCCCAUAACGAGCGCAACCCCUAUCAUUAGUUGCCAUCAGGUCAAGCUGGGGACUCUAAUGAAACUGCCUACGCAAGUAGUGAGGAAGGCGGGGAUGACGUCAAAUCAGCACGGCCCUUACGUCCAGGGCUACACACGUGCUACAAUGGCCGAUACAGAGGGCAGCUACCUGGUGACAGGAUGCAAAUCUCCAAAGUCGGUCUCAGUUCGGAUCGGAGUCUGCAACCCGACUCCGUGAAGUUGGAUUCGCUAGUAAUCGCGCAUCAGCAUGGCGCGGUGAAUACGUUCCCGGGCCUU
rnacentral:rRNA from 1 species